rnacentral:rRNA from 1 species
UACGUAGGUGGCAAGCGUUAUCCGGAAUUAUUGGGCGUAAAGAGCGCGCAGGUGGUUAAUUAAGUCUGAUGUGAAAGCCCACGGCUUAACUGUGGAGGGUCAUUGGAAACUGGUUGACUUGAGUGCAGAAGAGGGAAGCGGAAUUCCAUGUGUAGCGGUGAAAUGCGUAGAGAUAUGGAGGAACACCAGUGGCGAAGGCGGCUUCCUGGUCUGCAACUGACACUGAGGCGCGAAAGCGUGGGGAGCAAACAGG